rnacentral:rRNA from 1 species
AUGGCCUUCGUCGAGGUUGUCCGGGAUCCACCCCGUGGCCGACACAACGGCGCCGAGCAGGGCGGAGUUGAGGUAGUUCCCGCCAGCAACGGCGAGCUGCGCGAGUGCCACACCCAGGCUCUUCAUGGACUCCGGGGGCUGGUCGUAGAAGAACUCGAGCAUGCCGAUGCUGGUGAACACCUCGGCCGCGCCCAGCACGAAGUAGCACGGCGCUAG